UACAGAGGGUGCAAGCGUUGUUCGGAAUUAUUGGGCGUAAAGGGUGCGUAGGCGGUGCGGUAAGUCUUUUGUGAAAUCUCCGGGCUCAACCCGGAGCCUGCAAGGGAAACUGCCGUGCUUGAGUGUGGGAGAGGUGAGUGGAAUUCCGGGUGUAGCGGUGGAAUGCGUAGAGAUCCGGAAGAACACCGGUGGCGAAGGCGGUCUGCUGGGGUCGAACUGACGCUGAGGCGCGACAGCGUGGGGAGCAAACAGG
rnacentral:rRNA from 1 species